rnacentral:rRNA from 1 species
UGCCAGCCGCCGCGGUAAUACGGAGUGUGCAAGCGUUACUCGGAAUCACUGGGCAUAAAGCGCGCGUAGGCGGGACAUCAAGUCGGUGGUGAAAGCCCCCAGCUCAACUGGGGAAUUGCCGCCGAAACUGUUGUUCUUGAGAACGAGAGGGGUGAGUGGAACUUCUGGUGGAGCGGUGAAAUGCGUAGAUAUCAGAAGGAACACCGGUGGCGAAAGCGACUUCCUGGACCGUAACUGACGCUGAGGCGCGAAAGCGUGGGGAGCAAACAGGAUUAGAUA